rnacentral:snRNA from 1 species
GUGCUCGCUUUGGCAGCACAUUUACUAAAAUUGGAACAAGACAGAGAGGAUUAGCACGGCCCCUGCGCAAGGAUGACAUGCAAAUGUAACCCUCCUUU